rnacentral:rRNA from 1 species
AGUGAACGCUGGCGGUAGGCCUAACACAUGCAAGUCGAACGGCAGCACAGUAAGAGCUUGCUCUUACGGGUGGCGAGUGGCGGACGGGUGAGGAAUACAUCGGAAUCUACUUUUUCGUGGGGGAUAACGUAGGGAAACUUACGCUAAUACCGCAUACGACCUACGGGUGAAAGCAGGGGAUCUUCGGACCUUGCGCGAUUGAAUGAGCCGAUGUCGGAUUAGCUAGUUGGCGGGGUAAAGGCCCACCAAGGCGACGAUCCGUAGCUGGUCUGAGAGGAUGAUCCGCCCAAAUGGAACUGGAAAAAGGUCCAGACUCCUACGGGAGGCAACAGGGGGGAAUAUUGGACAAUGGGCGCAAGCCUGAUCCCGCCCUACCGGGGGGGUGAAAAAGGCCUUCGGGUUGUAAAGCCCUUUUUUUGGGAAAAAAAAGCAGCCGGUUAAUACCCCGCUGUUCUGACGGUACCCAAAGAAUAAGCACCGGCUAACUUCGUG